rnacentral:rRNA from 1 species
CCUACGGGAGGCAGCAGUAGGGAAUAUUGCUCAAUGGGGGAAACCCUGAAGCAGCAACGCCGCGUGGAGGAUGAAGGUUUUCGGAUUGUAAACUCCGUGUGUUAGAGAAGAGAAUGACGGUAUCUAACGAAUAAGCACCGGCGAACUCCGUGCCAGCAGCCGCGGUAAUACGGAGGGGGCAAGCGUUACUCGGAAUCACUGGGCGUAAAGAGCGCGUAGGCGGGUUAGCAAGUCAGAUGUGAAAUCCUAUGGCUUAACCAUAGAACUGCAUUUGAAACUGUUAUUCUAGAGUAUGGGAGAGGUAGUUGGAAUUCUUGGUGUAGGGGUCACAUCCUU